AGACUGAGGCUGAGUCAGGAUAGAGGCUGGAAUUGAAAGGAGAAUGACUUUGAAGCCAGGCAGACCUGGAAGCAAGUCCUGGAUCAGUCACUUUGCAGCUUGACCUGGGUCACUAUGAGGAUUGCCAGUGGAUAAGAAGGUGCCAAAGUCAAAGUACUGUCCACUCAGUCAUUAUUCUGUAAGUC